rnacentral:rRNA from 1 species
CCGACGGAGCACCGCCGCGUAAGUGAUGAAAAUUUUCGGACCGUAAAACUUUGUUGUUAGGGAAGAACAAGUACCGUUCGAAUAGGGCGGUACCUUGACGGUACCUAACCAGAAAGCCACGGCUAACUACGUGCCAGCAGCCGCGGUAAUACGUAGGUGGCAAGCGUUGUCCGGAAUUAUUGGGCGUAAAGCCCGCGCAGGAGGUUUCUUAAGUCUGAUGUGAAAGCCCCCGGCUCAACCGGGGAGGGUCAUUGGAAACUGGGGAACUUGAGUGCAGAAGAGGAGAGUGGAAUUCCACGUGUAGCGGUGAAAUGCGUAGAGAUGUGGAGGAACACCAGUGGCGAAGGCGACUCUCUGGUCUGUAACUGACGCUGAGGCGCGAAAGCGUGGGGAGCGAACAGGAUUAGAUACCCUGGUAGUCCACGCCGUAAACGAUGAGUGCUAAGUGUUAGAGGGUUUCCGCCCUUUAGUGCUGCAGCAAACGCAUUAAGCACUCCGCCUGGGGAGUACGGUCGCAAGACUGAAACUCAAAGGAAUUGACCGCACAAGCGGUGGAGCAUGUGGUUUAAUUCGAAGCAACGCGAAGAACCUUACCAGGUCCCAGGUCUUGACAUCCUCUGACAACCCUAGAGAUAGGGCUUCCCCUUCGGGGGCAGAGUGACAGGUGGUGCAUGGUUGUCGUCAGCUCGUGUCGUGAGAUGUUGGGUUAAGUCCCGCAACGAGCGCAACCCUUGAUAUUAUUUGG